rnacentral:rRNA from 1 species
ACCGUUCAAAGAAAACUGACGGAGCCGUCGUUGUCAGACGGCUUGGCAAUCAAUCGCGUUCGGCGUGGCCGAGUCGUCGCCGGUUGCUUGACCGCAGGCCGUUGCGCAGGCGGCGGCGUCGGCGAUUGACAGGAGAAUCGGCCGCGAGCGAUGCAUUUGUCGACCGCAGGCGCCACGAGCAGCGUCAAGCAGUUGCGCGCGUUAGGCCUAGUCGCUUGGCUAUGACGCGUUCGUCUCCGGCCGGACUCUCGCGGUUCGGCCGGCGGCGAACGGUCGGCGGCAGAUGGUCCCUACGGCAACGGUCAUUGCUGACGCUGCUGUUGGACGACGACGGGUCGCGGUUGCCCCGCUUGGCGUGCUUUGCGGCGGGCAAGCUUGCAUUGCGACGGCAGCAGUCUUGGCAAAGCGCGUUUUCGGCUCGGAUCAUUUUGACCGGUCGUUUGAUUUUCAGCCUGCAAAGGUUGGGUCGGCGAUUUGCAUGGUCCGGUCGUGACGCGGCUGUUGUUGUUCAACGUUGGCACCCGACAUUGACCCGUAAUCGGUGGCGUUUUCGUGACGGUCACCCGUCAGACCCGUCUUGAAACACGGACCAAGGAGUGCAGCAGUUGCGCGAGUCAUUGACACGUUUUGACGGUCAAAGGCGCAACGAAAGUGAACAAACACAAAAUGCUGUGUAGAGCCAGCCGUGUCCGUUCUUUUCGGGCACGGCGGCGCAUACAGGAGCCGUUCGAAUCGCAGUUGCCGGCGGCUUUCGGGUUGCCGGUGACCGAUGCAACGGAUUCGGAGCGCACAUGCUGCUACCCGAAAGAUGGUGAACUAUGCCUGAGCAGGAUGAAGCCAGAGGAAACUCUGGUGGAAGUUCGAAGCGGUGUGACGUGCAAUCACUCGCUGACU